AGUUGGUGGGGUAACGGCCUACCAAGGCGACGAUACGUAGCCGACCUGAGAGGGUGAUCGGCCACACUGGAACUGAGACACGGUCCAGACUCCUACGGGAGGCAGCAGUAGGGAAUCUUCCGCAAUGGGCGAAAGCCUGACGGAGCAACGCCGCGUGAGUGAUGAAGGUCUUCGGAUCGUAAAGCUCUGUUGUUAGGGAAGAACAAAUGUGUAAGUAACUGUGCACAUCUUGACGGUACCUAACCAGAAAGCCACGGCUAACUACGUGCCAGCAGCCGCGGUAAUACGUAGGUGGCAAGCGUUAUCCGGAAUUAUUGGGCGUAAAGCGCGCGUAGGCGGUUUUUUAAGUCUGAUGUGAAAGCCCACGGCUCAACCGUGGAGGGUCAUUGGAAACUGGAAAACUUGAGUGCAGAAGAGG
rnacentral:rRNA from 1 species